GAUCCUGGCUCAGGACGAACGCUGGCGGCGUGCCUAAUACAUGCAAGUAGAACGCACAGUUUAUACCGUAGCUUGCUACACCAUAAACUGUGAGUUGCGAACGGGUGAGUAACGCGUAGGUAACCUGCCUGGUAGCGGGGGAUAACUAUUGGAAACGAUAGCUAAUACCGCAUAAUAUUGAUUAUUGCAUGAUAAUUGAUUGAAAGAUGCUAUUGCAUCACU
rnacentral:rRNA from 1 species